GAUGAACGUUGGCGGCGUGCCUAAUACAUGCAAGUCGAACGGAGAUUGUAGCAAUACGGUCUCAGUGGCGAACGGGUGAGUAACGCGUUGGUGACCUGCCCCGAAGUGUGGAAUAACAGAUCGAAAGAGCUGCUAAUACCGCAUAAUAUCCAGAGGACUAGAUGCCUUUGGAUUAAAGGAUUUAUUCGCUUCGGGAGGGGCCUGCGUCCCAUCAGCUAGUUGGUAAGGUAAAGGCUUACCAAGGCUAUGACGGGUAGGGGACCUGAGAGGGUGGCCCCCCACAAUGGAACUGAAACACGGUCCAUACACCUACGGGUGGCAGCAGUAGGGAAUAUUAGUAAUGGGCGAAAGCCUGAACUAGCAACGCCGCGUGUGCGAAGAAGGCCUUCGGGUUGUAAAGCACUUUUUGAGAGGAUGAGGAAGGACGGUACUCUCAGAAUAAGUCUCGGCUAACUACGUGCCAGCAGCCGCGGUAACACGUAGGAGGCGAACGUUAUCCGGAUUUACUGGGCGUAAAGCGCGUGUAGGUGGUUUGGUAAGUAGGGCGUGAAAGCUCCUGGCUCAACUGGGAGAGGCCGUUCUAAACUGCCGAACUAGAGGAUGGUAGAGGGAGGGUGGAAUUCCGGGUGUAGCGGGUGGAAUGCGCAGAUAUCCGGAGGAACACCAGUGGCGAAAGCGGCCUCCUGGACCACUCCUGACACUCAGACGCGAAAGCUAGGGUAGCAAACG
rnacentral:rRNA from 1 species